rnacentral:lncRNA from 1 species
ACCUACUGAAGUGUGCAUGUCCGCCAGGGGGGGGACUUGCAGAAGCCACUGCCUGAGGCUGCCCGCCAGCUCCUGCCAUGGGAGCACGUGGUGGUCCUGAGGAUGGUAUCCUGGAUGAGGCCUGUCCAGGCCCAUGACCCUGGCCCUCUGCUGCAGCAGGUCCAGGGAGCGACUCCCAGGCCUCGCCUUGAGCACAGCUCACCAGUGGGGAGGUUGCCCGUGUGUUUCCCAAAGCUCCUGCCGGCAGCCAGGAGGGUAGCCCCUCCUGCCUCUUGGCCUCCUCAAGGACCCUGGACUCUCUAGCCAGUGGGCAUCUCUAAGGGAGGCCAGGUCCCGCGCAGCCCCAAGCAUGCAGCUCUCUGACCCAAGCCAGGUGGGGCAACUGAGAAGAGGACAGGGGCCACAUCCCCUUGUACUGCCCAGUAGGUUAAGCCUCAUACAUUAAUCUUUUGAGUUUGCCCUUAAACCUCAAGAGCUGGCAUCCCAGAAUGACCUUAAGCUGAUUCCUGCCCUCUGGCCUUGGCGUGGCCUGGCUUGCAGCUCCCUGCCUGCGUGGGGCCAGCCGCGGGAGCCCAGUGACAUCCAGAACCCGACCCGAGUUCCUUUCAGUGUGGGACACAGGACCCAAAACAGUCAUGAGCAAGAUCAGGUGCAAAGCCUGCGGCAGGACUGGCCCUGUGGAGUGAGUGGGGACUUGGAAAGGAGGACAGGACUGAUGGUUGCUUGCUGGGAGCAGGCCACAUGGCGGUGCCCAUUGCUGGGUGGAUGUGGAGGGCAGGGGAGUGCAGGGUGGUGAGUUCAAGGGAGUUGGGGGAUACCAAACUUCAGGGCACAGGCUGGGGCAGUGGGGAGGUUGCCCGUGUGUUUCCCAAAGCUCCUGUGGGCAGCCAGCCCUCGAUCCAUGCAGCCUCGGCUGUUGGUGUGUGAGAUCCAGGGUGGCAUCUCCACUCUUCCCGCCCCCAGGCUCAUUUACUUUAAGUUGGGCCCCUACCUUGGAAGUGCGCGGACCAAGAAGCAGGGACCAGCGGUGGCCGCUCUGGGCUGCUCUGACAACACUGGGCAUUCCAGUUCUGUGAGGCCUCGUGCCGUCACCUGGUGGAAGAGAGCAGAGGGGCUGCACCCCUCCCCGGGAGGCUGGGGCCCCGCACCUAAGCACCUCUUAACAGUGUCAGGUGGCAGCUGAAUGCCAACCCAAGUUCUGGAAGGGACAGCACUCAAACCAAAGGAGUAAUGACGCGAGGGACACGGCCACAUUGAGUGUGGCGGCCAUCACAGCCACUAGCUAAGUGCACACCCACUGCCCCCGAACCCCAGGAAACGGCAGGGGCAGCGGCAGCACCCAACCAGGGCAAUCUGGGUGGCGCCCGGCAGGGGCGGGCUGAGUGUCGUGCCUGACAUCAUGUAGCGCUGCACCGCCAGCCCUUUCUAAGUGAUCACACGGGGAAACUGGAUUUUUAUUUGAACGGUUCCAUGAAUUUCAGCAUGUGUGGGUCCUGGAACCUGUGCCCAGUCAGGACACAGGACAUCCUGUCACUCCCAGAUCCCCUUCCUGCUAGCCCUUCGGGCUUUCCCUUUCCCCACUCCUCACCCUAGUGACCACUUACCUGGUUUUUGAGAAUGCUGCACAGUGAGAACUACAUGGUGUGUCACCUUUGGACCCUGGCACCUGUCACUUCACAGAGCCUUUGCGAGGCACCAAGAGUCCUUUUUCCACACUGGGUGACAUUCUGUCGUGGAUGAACCUUGUUGGUUGAGCUACUUCCAGGUUUUGCUAGUUUCGACCAGAGCUGCCCUGGGCGUGGUGGGCCCAGGUGUGUCUCCUCCGGAAGCCCGGGUUCCUGGACUGCUGUGGCUCACACCCAGCACUCUGUGGGUGGUUGCUUUGGCUGCCCUGGCUGUAGCCACCUCACCACUUCAACCUGUGCUGCCCUGAGGCCGGGCCUGGGCACCUGUCCCAUUCUGACCUGGACCUUGCUGGAAGGCUCAGCCCUGCGACAGGCCUGGGAGUUAGCACAGCCUGCAGCAGCUGAGCAGGAAUCCUACAGCCCCACCACCCUCCAUCCCUCAGAGAUGCCUCUGGAAGGAGGGGACCCCUGUCCCCAGUCUCAGGUGGGCAUGGUGGAGUGCACUUGAUGCCCCCACAGAACCUGGGGAGCCUCCAACAGGAAGGACAAGGUGGCAAGGGCGUCAUCGUGGCAACAAGCGGGGAGGGUUGCCAGCCCCUCCCCUCCCCUCCCAGGGGACAGCUGCAACCAGGCACACCCUUGCUUAGCACUCUUCAGGUCUGAGUGGGCCUGCCAGGUGGGCAAGGGAGGGGCUGUGGUCCCAGGACCUCAGGGAUUGGGACAACCCUGAGGACUUAGGAUAACCCUGAGCUGUCCAUGGUGUCCAGACCCCCCUGGAGGAUGUGACCUCAUGCUGGGCCUUUGAGGGUCCCCCAGGUGUCCUGCCACCCUAGGCAUCCCAGGGACAGCCUUCCACACGCCUGUGCAGGGGCUGGCUGGCUUCUGGCAGGGCUGGAGGGGCAGGGGGCUCAUGCAGAGGUCAGGUGUGAAGUGACCUCGGGGGAGGCCCGCUGGAGGCUGGUGCUCUGCGGCCCCGAGCUCGGUGGAGAAGCACGCCACCCUGUGGGUUGGCCCGUGGAAAAGGUGCGGACAGCAGCCCCCAAGCCCUGUGCUCUUUAGCUGUCACCCCUGGCCAGGUCCUGUCCCUCUCCCAGCCCUGAGCAGCUGCUGGCCUGUCGCCGUGGAGCCCCACUGUGGGCUUGCUGUGGUGGAGUGGCACGUCUGCCGUGAGGCUGGCUGUGCACGUGGCACAGGUUCACCCGCAUUGUCACAGGGUGCGGCUUCUGUCUGGUGGCGGAAUGAUUUCCACUUACAGGUGGAGCACUCCCUGUUCACUCCUUCAUCUGUUUGGGUUGGUGCCAUUUUUGUUGUGUGAAUUGUGCUGAUGUAGGCAUCAGAGCAUGCGUUUGGGGUACAUGGGGCAGGGCUGCUGGGGAGGUCCGUCUUCUCACCAGCACAGGGGCUGCCCCGUCCCCGCCCUGCCAGCAGGAAUGAGGCUGCGGCUGCUGCACCCCUCCCCAAGCUGGUGCCUGUCCACCAUUCCAGCGGGUGUGGGUUGGUGUGCCACGCGGCACAGAUGUGCACCUUCCUGAUGGACAGUGAGGGUGACCCCUUUUCAUGUGCUGUGGCCCUCUGGAGUCUUCUUGGAGACGUGUCUAUGCAGACUCUUUGCCCAUUUUUAACUGGGUAAGUUGCCUGUUUGUUGAGUUCUAGGAAUUCCUAAUGUGCUUGCCCAUCGCGUGGGCUGCCUUUUUGCAUUUCUGAUGGUGUCCUUAAGAGUUCAAAAUGUUUCAAUUUGGGGGCAGGGGAUGUGGCUCAAGCGGUAGCGCGAUCCCCUGGCAUGCAUGGGGCCCAGGUUCUAUCCUCAGCACCACAUACAAAACAAAGAUGUUGUGUCCGCCGAAAACUAAAAAAUAAAUAUUAAAACUCU